rnacentral:miRNA from 1 species
GGCCAUAUUCUUAGCUGGUGUAAAUUGGCAUAGCUUCAUUGUAGUCAGUGGUGCUUUUCUGAUUUACACCAGCUGAGGAUCCUGGCCCA